GCCUGGCUGGCUCAGUCGGUUAAGCAUCUGACUUCGACUCAGGUCAUGAUCUCACAGUUCAUGGGUUCAAGCCCCGAAUCGGGCU
rnacentral:tRNA from 1 species